rnacentral:rRNA from 1 species
UACAGAGGUCUCAAGCGUUGUUCGGAUUCAUUGGGCGUAAAGGGUGCGUAGGUGGCGCCGUAAGUCGGGUGUGAAAUUUCGGAGCUUAACUCCGAAACUGCAUUCGAUACUGCGGUGCUUGAGGACUGGAGAGGAGACUGGAAUUCAUGGUGUAGCAGUGAAAUGCGUAGAUAUCGUAAGGAAGACCAGUGGCGAAGGCGAAUCUCUGGACAGUUACUGACAC